rnacentral:tRNA from 1 species
GGAUAUAGCUCAAUGGUAGAGCACAUGCUUAGCAUGCAUGGGGGUCUGUGUUCAACCCCAGUGCCUCCA